rnacentral:rRNA from 1 species
AUUGAACGCUGGCGGCAUGCCUUACACAUGCAAGUCGAACGGUAACGGGCCUUCGGGUGCCGAUGAGUGGCGAACGGGUGAGUAAUGUAUCGGAACGUACCUUUCAGUGGGGGAUAACGUAGCGAAAGUUACGCUAAUACCGCAUAUUCUGUGAGCAGGAAAGCAGGGGAUCGCAAGACCUUGCGCUGAUUGAGCGGCCGAUAUCAGAUUAGCUAGGUGGUGAGGUAAAGGCUCUCCAAGGCGACGAUCUGCAGCGGGUCUGAGAGGAUGAUCCGCCACACUGGAACUGAGACACGGUCCAGACUCCUACGGGAGGCAGCAGUGGGGAAUUUUGGACAAUGGGGGCAACCCUGAUCCAGCCAUGCCGCGUGAGUGAAGAAGGCCUUCGGGUUGUAAAGCUCUUUCGGCCGGGAAGAAAUCGUAUCAGCUAAUACCUGGUGCGGAUGACGGUACCGGCAUAAGAAGCACCGGCUAACUACGUGCCAGCCGCCGCGGUAAUAC